GAUGAACGCUGGCGGCGUGCUUAACACAUGCAAGUCGAACGGAAAGGCCCAAGCUUGCUUGGGUACUCGAGUGGCGAACGGGUGAGUAACACGUGGGUGAUCUGCCCUGCACUUCGGGAUAAGCCUGGGAAACUGGGUCUAAUACCGGAUAGGACGAUGGUUUGGAUGCCAUUGUGGAAAGUUUUUUCGGUGUGGGAUGAGCUCGCGGCCUAUCAGCUUGUUGGUGGGGUAAUGGCCUACCAAGGCGUCGACGGGUAGCCGGCCUGAGAGGGUGUACGGCCACAUUGGGACUGAGGUACGGCCCAGACUCCUACGGGAGGCAGCAGUGGGGAAUAUUGCACAAUGGGCGCGAGCCUGAUGCAGCGACGCCGCGUGGGGGAUGACGGCCUUCGGGUUGUAAACUCCUUUCGCUAGGGACGAAGCGUUUUUGUGACGGUACCUGGAGAAGAAGCACCGGCUAACUACGUG
rnacentral:rRNA from 1 species